UACGUAGGUGGCAAGCGUUGUCCGGAAUUAUUGGGCGUAAAGCGCGCGCAGGCGGCUUCUUAAGUCUGAUGUGAAAUCUCGGGGCUCAACCCCGAGCGGCCAUUGGAAACUGGGAAGCUUGAGUACAGAAGAGGAGAGUGGAAUUCCACGUGUAGCGGUGAAAUGCGUAGAUAUGUGGAGGAACACCAGUGGCGAAGGCGACUCUCUGGUCUGUAACUGACGCUGAGGCGCGAAAGCGUGGGGAGCAAACGGG
rnacentral:rRNA from 1 species